rnacentral:lncRNA from 1 species
UCGGCUGAUGAUGCAUUUUUUCCCCCUAUUUUUUCUUCCUUUUUCCUCUUCAAUGUUUUUCUCCUUUCUGUUUUCCUUUACUCUUCUGUCGUUGCUUCGGAGGCCCUAACUGCUUCCAAAAUGUACGCCUAGUUCAUUCCACUUAAUGAAUGAAGCAGGUAGCGCGUUACCUUUUUCAAAAAAAAAAAACAUCUAGUCGGAUCAGGUUACUUUAAUUAGUCUUUUUGAAAAAUUAUUUUCUUUAAUUAAGUAUAUCUACAUUAAAAUUAAUGGUACUUGUACUAUUUAUGAUAAAAUCUUAGGAAAUCCGACUGAAUAUUUCAUUAUUUGAAUCGAUCGUUUCUAGUGCAAAUGGCAAAAGGGUUGGUGGUUGGUACCCGAGAUUCCGAGUUCCAAUCCUAAUUGAUUUAUAUUAUCAGUUUAAUUUAUUUUUUUAAAAAAUAAAAUAAAUAAAUAACAUGCUGUCUAUUUCUAAAAAAAACAAAUCAUUAUUUGGCGAAAUAAUCUGGCAAUUUUUUCUUGAAACUAUAAAAGACUUUAAAGUGUACUAUCUGAAUAUGCCUGCGGGCUUUGUCAUAUAAGACUUUCGAUCAGAGCACACAAUCUGAUUAAAAAACGUGAAAAUGUGCAGGUAUGCCAAAAAAAAAAAAAGAAAAAGGCAACAGUGAAACUGCAGCUUGAUAAAUAUAUUUCCAUAUCAUAAUCAUUGUAAGCAUUAGCUAUAUAUAUAUAUUUUUUUUGAGAAAUAGGUAGCCAGCUAUCUGCUUCAUUCAUUAAGUAAAAUGAAUUAGGCAUGCAUGAUGAAAGCAACUAGGGCCUCCUAACCGCGUCAACGAAACAGAAAACAGAAAAACAGAAAAUGCCAAAAGCAAAUCCGUGCGACAGAAAACGAAAAAAUAAACAUAACCUAAUUAAUAGAGGUAAUCAGAGGGAAACAAAGGUAAAACACGGAUUCAUUGUAA